rnacentral:lncRNA from 1 species
UUCAUACAUGUAAUUUCUCUUUUUCUUUACAAAGGCAUGGUAACUAACAUUAAGGAUGGCAAAAGUGGACAAGAACAAUCGCAUAUUGUUUAGUCGCAACAUGAUUGCAUUAUACCGACCGUCUCUAGAACAAGUGACAAAAGAUUUGGUUGGUGGUACGCGAGACCUAAUUUCGAAUCCUAAUUAAUUCAUAUUUCUAGCUAAAUUUAUUUUUAAUCAUCAUAUAAUUUUUUACUCCCUACGGAACUAAUUAUUUUAGUGAAAGUACAGAAAGAUGAAGUAAGCUUUUGGAUUCGAAUGUUCACUUUUAUUGUAGAAUUCACUAUAAAAUAAGUUCAACCUUAACUUAGACUUUUCCAAAUCAUUAUAAUU